AUCUGACACAGGCUGGUUUUGAAAGGCCUCCUAACAAUACAGCGAAGAUUAGCACAGCCCCCGCGCAAGGAGGACACGCACAUCUGUGAAACAUUCCAUAUUUUU